rnacentral:rRNA from 1 species
AACGCUGGCGGCGUGCCUAAUACAUGCAAGUCGAAUGGUAGUAGCAAUACAAACCAUGGCGAACGGGUGAGUAACACGUAGGCAACCUGACUUUAAGACGAGGAUAACCGUUGGAAACGACGGAUAAUACUGGAUAGGACAUCACAAAGGGCAUCCUUAGAUGUUUAAAGGUUAUCAUGCCACUUAGAGAGGGGCCUGCGGCGCAUUAGCUAGUUGGUGAGAUAACAGCCCACCAAGGCGAUGAUGCGUAGCCGGACUGAGAGGUUGAACGGCCACAAUGGAACUGAGAACGGUCCAUACUCCUACGGGAGGCAGCAGUAGGGAAUUUUCGGCAAUGGGCGCAAGCCUGAACCCGAGCAACGCCGCGUGAACGAAGAAGUUAUUCGUAAUGUAAAGUUCUUUUAUCUGGGAAGAAAAAACAAAUUGACGGUACCAGAUGAAUAAGCUCCGGCUAACUACGUGCCAGCAGCGGC